GGGGAAUAUUGGACAAUGGGCGCAAGCCUGGUCCAGCCAUGCCGCGUGAGUGAUGAAGGCCUUAGGGUUGUAAAGCUCUUUCGGUGGGGAAGAUAAUGACGGUACCCACAGAAGAAGCCCCGGCUAACUUCGUGCCAGCAGCCGCGGUAAUACGAAGGGGGCUAGCGUUGUUCGGAUUUACUGGGCGUAAAGCGCACGUAGGCGGAUCGUUAAGUGAGGGGUGAAAUCCCAGGGCUCAACCCUGGAACUGCCUUUCAUACUGGCGAUCUCGAGUCCGGAAGAGGUGAGUGGAACUCCUAGUGUAGAGGUGGAAUUCGUAGAUAUUAGGAAGAACACCAGUGGCGAAGGCGGCUCACUGGUCCGGUACUGACGCUGAGGUGCGAAAGCGUGGGGAGCAAACAG
rnacentral:rRNA from 1 species